rnacentral:lncRNA from 1 species
UCACAAUCAGCUAGGCUCUGAAGACAAAUCCGAGUUCAGGCUGUGGAUUGGCUGAUCCCUCAUGAAUAUGUAGAUUACUCUCACCCUUCACCUCGCUCUGGAAAAACCAGCCACCAUGUUGUAAGGAUGCUCAAGUAGCACUAUGGAGAUUCACACGUGGCAAAGAGCUGAGGCCUCCCACCAACAGCCACAUGAGGGAGCCAGAGUAGGAGUGGCUCCUCCAGCCCCAGUCGAACCUUCAGAUGUGACAGACUUGGCUGCUGACAGUUUGCAAUCUCAUGAGACCCUGAGCCAGAACCACCCAGCUAAAUCAGUCCUGGACUCCUGAUCAACAGAAAUGGUACCAAAGAGAGGCGUUUUGAACAUUAAGACGCUUUGCUGCUUCUCACCUGAAACACGUAACAGGAACACCAACCUCUUCAGCCGCGGGAAAUCUUCUUUGACACAAAACUCAAACCGAGUCAACCCAAAGUUCCAAGUUCUUUGCUUUCUCUUCUGUGUGUGUGUUGGUUUGUCCCAAAAGUCAGUUUGCAAGUUGAAACUUCAUGAAAUUACUCGUAGCAGAAAUAAAGUACAUUGUACAAAUC